ACUGCUCAGUAACACGUGGAUAACCUGCCCAAGGGUUCGGGAUAACCCCGGGAAACUGGGGAUAAUACCGGAUGGAUCACUAGUGCUGGAAUGCUUGGUGGUUUAAAGGUAACGCCUUUGGAUGGGUCUGCGGCGGAUUAGGUUGACGCCGGUGUAACGUACCGGCGUGCCUGUAAUCCGUACGGGUUGCGGGAGCAAGAGCCCGGAGAUGGAUUCUGAGACACGAAUCCAGGCCCUACGGGGCGCAGCAGGCGCGAAAACUCUACAAUGCAGGCAACUGCGAUAGGGGGACAUCGAGUGGCAUCCACCUUGGGUGCCUGUCCAACCGUCUAAAAAACGGUUGUUAGCAAGGGCCGGGUAAGACCGGUGCCAGCCGCCGCGGUAAUACCGGCGGCUCGAGUGGUGGCCGAUAUUAUUGAGUCUAAAGGGUCCGUAGCCGGCUUUGCAAGUCCCCUGGGAAAUCCAGCGGCUUAACCGUUGGGCUUUCAUGGGAUACUACAUUGCUUGGGACUGGGAGAGGUAGGAGGUACUCGGGGGGUAGGGGUGAAAUCCUGUAAUCCUCCGGGGACCACCGGUGGCGAAGGCGUCCUACCAGAACAGGUCCGACGGUGAGGGACGAAAGCUAGGGGCACGAACCGGAUUAGAUACCCGGGUAGUCCUAGCCGUAAACGAUGCCCGCUAGGUGUCACGACGGUCGUGAAUCGUCGUGGUGCCGUAGGGAAGCCGCGAAGCGGGCCACUUGGGAAGUACGGCCGCAAGGCUGAAACUUAAAGGAAUUGGCGGGGGAG
rnacentral:rRNA from 1 species